CUGUAACCCCGGGGGCACCUCCACCAACUCUGCAUGUCGCUCAAAGUCAGCACCCCAAUGCGCCGCCUGGAUGCAGGUGAAAGCAAAGCAGAUGCCCAAACAAGGCCUCCGCCUCCUGUGCACAGGGUCCAAGGCACGGGGCACACAGCUCUGUCCCCUGGGCCCAGUGAGGAUCUGUUUUCACAGGGAUUACUCGCGCUCUGCCAUGCGGUUUUCACCCAAGUGGCCUACCAUGCCUCCUCCAGAUCUCCUCGGCAGGGGUCAGCAGCCCGUGGACUGAGCCGACGAAAGCAAGUGUCUGAGUGGUCCUGACGCAGGGCACGCUGCUGUCCCUGCAGGUGAGGGCACAGAUGUCCGGCCUCUGGCUUUCUGCAUCUUAGGACAGACCUAAAAACUCAAAAACAAAGCCAGUGCUCGCAGCAGCGCACGCGUGUUCUUGCCCAAAACCUGAAGACGUCUGUGCGUCCAGGAGACAUGACUUUCCGUUCGCAUGAUUAUUGGCUGUUUCUGUUUCCUGUUCUGCCAAAUGUCUGCCUUUUGCCCAUUUUUAAAAUCAGAUCCUAUGUCUCUAUCUUCUGAGGCGUGGGGAAGUCUGUAUUACUGGGUAGAAGUCAUUUGUUACUUGCAUGGAUUGUAAAUACUGUCUCAUAUUUGCGACCUGACUUUCACUUUCCUUAUAGUGACGUCUGUAAACAAAGGUUCUUUGUUCUUUAGCUUUUGAUGAAAACUUUAAUACAGAAAAGAAGUAGAAAGAGUAAUAUAAUGAAUACACAUAUAUCCACGGGAAAGGCUAAUUUUAUGUGUCAGCUCGGCCAGGUCCUGGUGUCCAGCUAUUUGGUCAAACACCAGUCAGAUAUUGCAGAAGGUAUUUUUCGAUGAGAUUACCAUUUUUGUGUGUUUGCACUGAGUCUUCCUUGCUGCGUGUGGCUCUUCUCUAGCUGCGGCGAGCGGGGCUCCUCGAUAGAUGCAGGCGCAGGCUUCUCAAUGCGGCGGCUUCUCCUGUGACAAAGCCCGUGCUCCAGAGUGAGGGCUCAGUAGUGGUGCUCAUGGGCUCAGUUACCCCAUGGCGUGUGGGAUCCUCUUGGAUCAGGGAUCAAACCCAUGUUCCCUGCAUUGGCGGGUGGAUUCUUAACCUCUGGACCAACAGCAAAGUCUGAUUGAACAUUUCAACCAGAAGAUUUGGAGUAAAACAGAUCACCUUCAUUGAGUGGGUGGACCUUGCCCAAUCAUCGAAGGCCUUCAGAGCAAAGACUGAGUUUUCCCAGAAGAAGGAUUUCAACCUCAAGAGUGAAAC
ensembl:lncRNA